rnacentral:rRNA from 1 species
UGGGGAAUUUUGGACAAUGGGGGAAACCCUGAUCCAGCCAUCCCGCGUGUGCGAUGAAGGCCUUCGGGUUGUAAAGCACUUUUAGCAGGAAAGAAACGUCAUGGGUUAAUACCCCGUGAAACUGACGGUACCUGCAGAAUAAGCACCGGCUAACUACGUGCCAGCAGCCGCGGUAAUACGUAGGGUGCAAGCGUUAAUCGGAAUUACUGGGCGUAAAGCGUGCGCAGGCGGUUCGGAAAGAAAGAUGUGAAAUCCCAGAGCUCAACUUUGGAACUGCAUUUUUAACUACCGGGCUAGAGUGUGUCAGAGGGAGGUGGAAUUCCGCGUGUAGCAGUGAAAUGCGUAGAUAUGCGGAGGAACACCGGUGGCGAAGGCAGCCUCCUGGGAUAACACUGACGCUAAUGCACGAAAGCGUGGGGAGCAAACAGG